rnacentral:rRNA from 1 species
GACGAACGCUGGCGGCGUGCUUAACACAUGCAAGUCGAACGGUAAGGCCCUUCGGGGUACACGAGUGGCGAACGGGUGAGUAACAUGUGGGUGAUCUGCCCUGCACUUCGGGAUAAGCCUGGGAAACUGGGUCUAAUACCGGAUAGGACUCCGGACUGCAUGGUCUGGGGUGGAAAGCUUUUGCGGUGUGGGGUGGGCCCGCGGCCUAUCAGCGUGUUGGUGGGGUGAUGGCCUACCAAGGCGACGCCGGGUAGCCGGCCUGAGAGGGUGACCGGCCACACUGGGACUGAGAUACGGCCCAGACUCCUACGGGAGGCAGCAGUGGGGAAUAUUGCACAAUGGGCGCAAGCCUGAUGCAGCGACGCCGCGUGAGGGAUGACGGCCUUCGGGUUGUAAACCUCUUUCAGCACCGACGAAGCGCAAGUGACGGUAGGUGCAGAAGAAGGACCGGCCAACUACGUGCCAGCAGCCGCCGUAA